rnacentral:tRNA from 1 species
GGUUCCAUGGUGUAAUGGUGAGCAGUCUGGACUUUGAAUCCAGUGAUCAGAGUUCGAAUCUCGGUGGAACCUA